rnacentral:rRNA from 1 species
AUACGGAGGGUCCGAGCGUUAUCCGGAAUCAUUGGGUUUAAAGGGUCCGUAGGCGGGAAUCUAAGUCAGUGGUGAAAUCUUGCAGCUCAACUGUAAAAUUGCCAUUGAUACUGGAUUUCUUGAAUUAGUGUGAAGUUGUUAGAAUGUGUAGUGUAGCGGUGAAAUGCAUAGAUAUUACACAGCAUACCAAUUGCGAAGGCAGAUCACUAACACUAUAUUGACGCUAAGGGACGAAAGCGUGGGGAGCGAACAGGAUUAGAUACCCUUGUAGUCC